UACGUAGGGUGCGAGCGUUAAUCGGAAUUACUGGGCGUAAAGCGUGCGCAGGCGGUUGUGCAAGACAGAGGUGAAAUCCCCGGGCUCAACCUGGGAACUGCCUUUGUGACUGCAUAGCUAGAGUACGGCAGAGGGGGAUGGAAUUCCGCGUGUAGCAGUGAAAUGCGUAGAUAUGCGGAGGAACACCAAUGGCGAAGGCAAUCCCCUGGGCCUGUACUGACGCUCAUGCACGAAAGCGUGGGGAGCAAACAGG
rnacentral:rRNA from 1 species